rnacentral:lncRNA from 1 species
GAUGCUUGUGAUAUAUUUUCUUUGCUCAUUUUUAAAAGAUGACAUUUUGUGGACGUCACAUGGCAGAGUUUCCAUAGAUUUUACUUUUUCCAGUGAAUUCUUCAUCUGUUGAUAUAUACUCUGAAAGCUGUGUGCAUAUCCUCAUAUAAUUAGCUAUGUAGAAAGACAUGCAUAAUGUCAAAACAUAAAAACACAAAUUGUUAGGUCCGAAGAAACUUUGUAAGAUUUCUGCUGCUUUUUUAGCUAAAUAGGUGCAAUUUGGGUACUGUGAUAUUACAGCUAGGGCUAAAUGGGAAUCAACCAUGUUAAAAUAUUCAAAUGAUAAUUUGAUGACAAAAGCAAGUUAUCCUUCAAUUAUAAU